UACGUAGGGUGCGAGCGUUAAUCGGAAUUACUGGGCGUAAAGCGUGCGCAGGCGGUUCGUUGUGUCGGUGGUGAAAUCCCCGGGCUUAACCUGGGAAUGGCCAUGGAAACUGGCGAACUGGAGUGCGGCAGAGGGGGGUGGAAUUCCGCGUGUAGCAGUGAAAUGCGUAGAGAUGCGGAGGAACACCGAUGGCGAAGGCAGCCCCCUGGGCUAGCACUGACGCUCAGGCACGAAAGCGUGGGGAGCAAAUAGG
rnacentral:rRNA from 1 species